AUGGGCCGGGCCCUUUUGAUCCCAGACUUCCUGGGCGGCGGCCGACAACUGCUCUUUGGCUUUUUUUCCAGGGAUCGCCACUUUUGCGCCUGCGAUAUAGAGGCUAGGCCUCCGGUGAUCAUCAAGUCCUGGCCGGAGGCCAUCCCCUCCCGGCUGGUUUGGCGUGCCAGAUACUUCACAGAAGCACACACCGCCGCCCUUGCCUACUACGGGGCCGGCAGAUUUUGCAUGUCGACGGUCAUCAUCACCAGGUACUUCCCUCAAAAGCCUAUCAACAUGGACGAAGUGCUCAAUCUACCACGCCGUGCCGUCUCCAUCGUGGCCGUCGAGGUCACCCAGGAAUGCAGUUGA
rnacentral:rRNA from 1 species